GAGCCCUUGAUGAUUAGCUAUAUGUUGGAAUUGCCGUCUGAUUUUGAAUGAUGAUUUACGCCUUUCUGUGGCUUAUU